GAUUGAACGCUGGCGGCAGGCUUAACACAUGCAAGUCGAGCGGAAACGAUGAUAGCUUGCUAUCAGGCGUCGAGCGGCGGACGGGUGAGUAAUACUUAGGAAUCUACCUAGUAGUGGGGGAUAGCACGGGGAAACUCGUAUUAAUACCGCAUACGACCUACGGGAGAAAGGGGGCAGUUUACUGCUCUCGCUAUUAGAUGAGCCUAAGUCGGAUUAGCUAGAUGGUGGGGUAAAGGCCUACCAUGGCGACGAUCUGUAGCUGGUCUGAGAGGAUGAUCAGCCACACCGGGACUGAGACACGGCCCGGACUCCUACGGGAGGCAGCAGUGGGGAAUAUUGGACAAUGGGGGAAACCCUGAUCCAGCCAUGCCGCGUGUGUGAAGAAGGCCUUUUGGUUGUAAAGCACUUUAAGCAGUGAAGAAGACUCCGUGGUUAAUACCCACGGACGAUGACAUUAGCUGCAGAAUAAGCACCGGCUAACUCUGUGCCAGCAGCCGCGGUAAUACAGAGGGUGCAAGCGUUAAUCGGAAUUACUGGGCGUAAAGGGAGCGUAGGUGGCUCGAUAAGUCAGAUGUGAAAUCCCCGGGCUCAACCUGGGAACUGCAUCUGAUACUGUUGAGCUAGAGUAUGUGAGAGGAAGGUAGAAUUCCAGGUGUAGCGGUGAAAUGCGUAGAGAUCUGGAGGAAUACCGAUGGCGAAGGCAGCCUUCUGGCAUAAUACUGACACUGAGGCUCGAAAGCGUGGGUAGCAAACAGGAUUAGAUACCCUGGUAGUCCACGCCGUAAACGAUGUCUACUAGUCGUUGGGUCCCUUGAGGACUUAGUGACGCAGCUAACGCAAUAAGUAGACC
rnacentral:rRNA from 1 species